UUAAGUCCCGUAACGAGCGCAACCCUUGUCCUUAUUUGCCAGCACUUCGGGUGGGAACUCUAAGGAGACUGCCGGUGCAAACCGGAGGAAGUGGGGACGACGUCAAGUCAUCAUGGCCCUUACGUGUAGGGCUACACACGUGCUACAAUGGUCGGUACAGAGGGCCGCAAACCCGCGAGGGCAAGCAAAUCUCAGAAAACCGGUCGUAGCCCGGAUCGCAGUCUGCAACUCGACUGCGUGAAGUCGGAAUCGCUAGUAAUCGCGAAUCAGAAUGUCGCGGUGAAUACGUUCCCGGGCCUU
rnacentral:rRNA from 1 species